UACGGGGGGGGCAAGCGUUGUUCGGAAUUACUGGGCGUAAAGGGCUCGUAGGCGGCCUACUAAGUCAGACGUGAAAUCCCUCAGCUUAACUGGGGAACUGCGUCUGAUACUGGAUGGCUUGGAUUCGGGAGAGGAAUGCGGAAUUCCAGGUGUAGCGGUGAAAUGCGUAGAUAUCUGGAGGAACACCGGUGGCGAAGGCGGCAUUCUGGACCGACAUUGACGCUGAGGAGCGAAAGCCAGGGGAGCAAACGGG
rnacentral:rRNA from 1 species